rnacentral:rRNA from 1 species
UACGGAGGGGCUAGCGUUGUUCGGAAUUACUGGGCGUAAAGCGCACGUAGGCGGCUUGCAAGUCAGAGGUGAAAGCCCGGGCUCAACCCGGAAUAGCCUUUGAGACUGCAUCGCUAGAAUUGUGGAGAGGUAAGUGGAAUUCCGAGUGUAGAGGUGAAAUUCGUAGAUAUUCGGAAAGAACACCAGUGGCGAAGGCGACUUACUGGACACAUAUUGACGCUGAGGUGCGAAAGCGUGGGAGCAAACAGG